rnacentral:rRNA from 1 species
GUACGGGGGAGCAAACGUUGUUCGGAAUCACUGGGCGUAAAGGGCGUGUAGGCGGCUGGAUAAGUGGGAUGUUAAAUCCCCCGGCUCAACCGGGGACCUGCAUCUCAUACUGUUCAGCUCGAGCACAUCAGAGGAGACUGGAAUCCCGGUGUAGCGGUGAAAUGCGUAGAUAUCGGGAGGAACACCAGUGGCGAAGGCGAGUCUCUGGGAUGAUGCUGACGCUGAGGCGCGAAAGCCAGGGGAGCAAACGGG